rnacentral:rRNA from 1 species
UACGUAGGGGGCAAGCGUUGUCCGGAAUCAUUGGGCGUAAAGAGCGUGUAGGCGGCCCGAUAAGUCCGCUGUGAAAGUCCAGGGCUCAACCCUGGGAUGCCGGUGGAUACUGUCGGGCUCGAGUCCGGAAGAGGAGCGUGGAAUUCCUGGUGUAGCGGUGAAAUGCGCAGAUAUCAGGAGGAACACCAGCGGCGAAGGCGGCGCUCUGGGCCGGAACUGACGCUGAGGAGCGAAAGCGUGGGUAGCAAACAGG